AUCUCUGGCCAUCCCACUCUUAAUGUGCCUGAAUUUGUUUGCACUCACAAGCGAGGCAGAGUCAGGUCUAGGUGGUCCUUGAAUGGGAGAUCACCUGGGAAUCCUGGGUGCUGUAGGCU
rnacentral:rRNA from 1 species